AAGCAUAUCAAUAAGCGGAGGAAAAGAAACCAACAGGGAUUGCCCUAGUAACGGCGAGUGAAGCGGCAACAGCUCAAAUUUGAAAUCUGGCUCUUUCAGAGUCCGAGUUGUAAUUUGCAGAGGGCGCUAUGGCUUUGGCAGCGGUCCAAGUUCCUUGGAACAGGACGUCACAGAGGGUGAGAAUCCCGUACGUGGUCGCUAGCUAUUGCCGUGUAAAGCCCCUUCGACGAGUCGAGUUGUUUGGGAAUGCAGCUCUAAAUGGGAGGUAAAUUUCUUCUAAAGCUAAAUAUUGGCCAGAGACCGAUAGCGCACAAGUAGAGUGAUCGAAAGAUGAAAAGCACUUUGGAAAGAGAGUCAAACAGCACGUGAAAUUGUUGAAAGGGAAGCGCUUGCAGCCAGACUUGCUUGCAGUUGCUCAUCCGGGCUUUUGCCCGGUGCACUCUUCUGUAGGCAGGCCAGCAUCAGUUUGGGCGGUGGGAUAAAGGUCUCUGUCACGUACCUCUCUUCGGGGAGGCCUUAUAGGGGAGACGACAUACCACCAGCCUAGACUGAGGUCCGCGCAUCUGCUAGGAUGCUGGCGUAAUGGCUGUAAGCGGCCCGUCUUGAAACACGGACCAAGGAGUCUAACAUCUAUGCGAGUGUUUGGGUGUCAAGCCCGAGCGCGUAAUGAAAGUGAACGGAGGUGGGAACCCGCAAGGGUGCACCAUCGACCGAUCCUGAAGUUUACGGAAGGAUUUGAGUAAGAGCAUGGCUGUUGGGACCCGAAAGAUGGUGAACUAUGCUUGAAUAGGGUGAAGCCAGAGGAAACUCUGGUGGAGGCUCGCAGCGGUUCUGACGUGCAAAUCGAUCGUCAAAUUUGGGCAUAGGGGCGAAAGACUAAUCGAACUAUCUAGUAGCU
rnacentral:rRNA from 1 species